rnacentral:lncRNA from 1 species
GGGGCUGAGGGCGCUCGGCCGCUUCCGGUCCUGCGCUGCGGGCCUCAGAGGACUUGGUGCUCGGCAAACCCAGAGACUCAAACGCCAUGUCCGGGGGGUGGGGGGAGCGGCGGUAGGGGAGAUCCUCACGCUGUGUUCGGCAGCGAGGCGGCGAGACGCGCCGGUUCAGCCGGAGACCGCUGUGGGAACCGCGCCGAACACGCUUUGGGCGGCCAUUUUGUAACUCGAAUCUACCCCCAAAACCAAUUCGAAAAAAAGGGAGGAAAGAAACGCCCCGACAGUGUUCUGAACUGGGUUGAACACACAAAGGAUGCUACAAUUUUCCACUUGUAUACAGGUCCCUCCAAGACUUCGCUUCUCACCAUGAUUCUGACAUUGAUAUGAAAACACACAAGAUUUCACUUCUCACCAUGAUUCUGACACUGAUAUGAUCACUGAAUGACCGUUUUCAGCAAUUCGGGCCUAUAAAAGUGUGAAAUAGAUUUUUUUUGAAAGUCCUAUUGUAUAUUCAAAAUUCUGUAACACUAGUGGUUUUCUUCACCUUGUAGCUUAUUAUGAUAAGCACUAAUUUUGACUCUGACAUUUCAACAGGAGCACUUAGUUAUAGACAACCAGGAAUGUUCAAGAAUGACUCAGGAGUAUUUUAUUGACAAGGUAAUCUUUGAGACCAGGGGGUCCUCCUCCCCCCAGCUGGAGGAAUUACACCUGGGCCCAACUUCCUGAAGUCUCAAGGUGGAAUAUAUCUGGUAUUCUUUGUAACAUAUUUCAAUAUUCAGUAGCCAAGUUCAGGCUAUUUCGUGCCCAAAUAUAUAUUGUUUUUCUCUUAUUUAUAAGAACAGUAUUAAACUGUCCCUAUAAUAUUAGAAAAGAGAAGAAGGGUCUCUUCACUGGAAGAGAAUAUUACAGAGUGUUCAGCCUUAAGUGUUUUCAGGUAUGCUUCAAGUCAAGCAUGCUUCUCUAAAGGUGAUUUAGACAAUGAGGUUCACAGGCAAGUAAGCCCUUCUGCCUACAAGUUGUGGCCUGUUUUGAAGAUUGUUUUUGUUUAGCCAAGCCCUUUAUGUGGCAUACUUAUCUGAGCUUACUUCUAAACACAAUUAGUUGAUGUCUAUAAAAAAAAUUUGAACUCGAUCAUUCCUGGAAACUUAUUUAAAAUGUAAAUAUAUAACUGGAAUUCUUAUUCAAAAGUUAUGUACUUCUUCAUAUUUGGUCCCAAUAAGAGCAGGGUAUUUGUUAUGUUUUACUCUCAGAAUUGACACAACUUAUUUCCAUCUUCCACUACCCUCAGUUUCUUUAACUAUAUCAUCUACUUUGUCUUUUCACAAUUCUUAAGUGAGAUUAUUGAUUUUUCUUUUUACUUCUUGUCAACUCUUUGCUGGUAAGAAUAGACAUAUAAAAUCAUUCUUGUAAUAAAAGGUCAUUCCUGGUGAA